AUAAGGACAUCUGGUGUAAUUCUCUGAUACUACAAUAAGGAAAUUUACUGAUCCUUUACUACUGUGCUGAUAAAUUGGUAAGGAAGAUGUUUCCUUGGCUGUGUCUUGGCUGUUUUCAGACUGUUUAAAAUUCCCUUUAAGUCUUAGAUAUAUUUGGCUUAAAUCAGAAUGCACUCUCUUUUUUGCUUAUUUCGCCAUUCAUGGAAAGUUUAUCAUAGUGCAAGUUUAUCAAAGUUUAUCAUCCUGAACUAGGUUUCAGGUGCAAAUAACACAAUCUGUACAAUUCCCUUGAUCAACUCUAUAUGAAUUAUGAAUAGUAAAGAGAAAUGGAUAUAAAAAACAUCAUGUCUGAUUUGUAUUGUUCUCUGGUCUUACCGGAAAAAGAGAAGAGCUCCCAGAGCAGCUUGAAGUACAGAAAAGUAAUGCUUCUGGAAAUGCUCAGGAAGCUCUCUCAGCUCCAGGCUUGAAGAAGAGGAAAAAGAGAAGAGCUCCUAGAGCAGCUUGAAGAGUAAUGCUUCUGGAAAUGCUCAGGAAGCUCUCCCAGCUCCGGGCUUGAAGAAGAGGUACCUCUCACACCAUUGCUCAUUUUAUACAGUUUAUGGCCCAUUAAACAUACUGGAUCAACUGCAGUUAGCAUCAUAACUGCAGUUAGAUGAGGAGAACUCACCAGCCACUGUUUAUCCAAGAGCUUGAAGUGGAGAGGGUGAGCAGCUUUAAAUAUUUGUGGGUCCACAUCAGCGAGGACCUCACUUGGACACUCAACGCCACCCAGCUGGUUAAGAAAGCACAACAGCGGCAGUACUUCCUAAGGAGGCUGAGGAAGUUUGGCAUGUCACCUAAGAUCCUCAACAACUUCUACAGCUGUGUUGCUGAGAGCGUCUUGACCAGCUGCAUCACUGUGUGGUAUGGCAGCACUACAGUGAGGGAUCGCAAUCAUCUGCAGGACUCCACUGCCCUCUCUGCAGAAUAUUUAUUUACCACCUCAGUAGUCCACAGGAGAGCUGCCUCCAUCCUUAAGGACCCAACCCACCCACAAUACGGACUGUUCACACUCCUACCCUCAGGACGGAAGUGCAGGAGUGUGAAAUGCAGGACUUCCAGACUAAGGAACUUCUUCUUCCCCUCAGCCAUUAGACUUUUAAAUGGGUAGCCAGUGGACACAGACUAGUCUCGCAUAUCUCAUAGAAUAGGUGGACUGAACUGCUACAGCUCAAUUUGCACAUUUGUAAACGUUUCUGCUGCUAUUUCUUAUCAAGUAGCUUCAUUUCAAUUUGCACAUUGUUAAUGUGACAGCUGCUAUUAUUAUGGUGUAGUUGCACUCAAUUUGCUACAGGCUACUGUACUAUUGUUUUUGUAUUUCUUAUUGUUAUUGUCUUGUACAUAAGUCAAUAUUGCACAUAGAGAUAUACUAUACUAUAUAUUACUGCUACAUGUGAACACAUUACUGUUACUACAUGUACUGUAAUAUUGUUUUGCACAAGUCAAUAUUGCACACUCACACAUACAGAUGUACAUAGUCUAUAUUUCUACUUCUGCAACAUAGCUAUACUUUAUUAUGUUUGUUUGUAUGUAUGUGUAUGUCUGUUUUUAUUUUUUACAUAGUUUGCAUUUGUCUUGGCAUUCGAUGUGGACAGCAAAGAAAGAAUUUCGUUGUACAGGAAAACUUGUUUUUCCUCACUGUGCACAUGACAAUAAAUGCUUUGAAUCUUUGAA